CUCAUUGUUACAAUGUUGGUAAAGGUAGUCAUGUGUUUUAUGUUCGUCUUUGUGAAUCAGUCAUUAAUGGUUGAUGCUAAAGGAUCCUGUCCAGAUGGUAAGUAUUGGUUGAAUUAAGGCAACAGUAGUUUACAAGUGUUAAAUGUCGAAAAUCGAUUAGGGGAGAGACACAUCAAAGUAAAAACAAAAAUUGAAGAAACGCAUAAAUACCAUAAGAGCAGAACUUCGUGCGUUUUAGAGUUAGUGUCUUUUGAUUUGAAUGCAUCGGCGACAUGUAAAUUCAUAUUUAGUCAAAUACCACAAUCAACAAUAGGACACGCUCCGUUAAAUAACAGACACUAAUGAGUCACUAGUGGUAUGAUGUCUUAAAAUAUCUUAUACGACAGCAGAAACUGGUCGUUAGUGCAUUGAGACACAGACACAUCUCAUCUGGUCAACCAACUUGUGAUGAUGUUCGUGAACAUUAUGUAGUGAGUCGUUCUUAGCCAUAACUCUACUAGAGAAGUUUUGAAGAAUAUUAAACAAACAAAACCUGAUACAUUAUGUAAGUAUGAGUUUUGUUGAAACCAGGUUUAAUCCACCAUUUUCUACAUAAGAAAAUGCUUGUUCCUAGUCAGGAAUAUGAAAGUUGUUAUUCAUUCGUUUGAUGUGUUUUAGCUUUUGAUUUUGUCAUUUGAUUAGAGACUUUUCGUUUUAAGUUUUAGUAUUUUUGUGAAUUUAAUUUAACUCUUCAUAUUUUUUUUUUUUUUUUUUUUUUUUUUUUUUAUUUAUUUCGUGUAUGAUAUGCUUUUUACCAUUUAAGAUUUAUAUGAAAUGACUGUACAGUAAUUCUAUAAUAAAACAAUCUCCAUAUUUCAGACAGCAAAAUGGAUAGUCUAAUAAAAUGGUUAAAGAAAUGCAACAACAUUGUUCAUGUACAGGUAUUUAUAUCAAAUGAGUUUUUAUAAACAGUAAGAAAAUAUAAAUAAAAAACUAUAUUAUAUCAAAUCUGUCCAUUAAACGCACUCGAGAAUUAUUUUUUGUUAUCUUCUACAUUUUCGCUUAAAUAUCAAGCAGAAGAAUACGACUUGCCGCAAUUUUCUCAUCUCCUUCAUCUCUCUCAUCUUUAACAUUAUGAAGAAUAAUGCAAACUACCCGCAAUUUGUAUACUUGAUUAACAACGGGGCAUAUGAAGCAAGUUUUACCAGUUAAAGGGGACAUCGAUUUUGAACUUCUUCUGAUUGUUUACAUCUACGGAUGAAAACGAGUCGGUAAUGCUAAUUCACCAUACGGUUUUACAAGAUAUGAAAUUAAAGGCAAAAUAACAUUUAGGGAACUGACUUGUUCAAAUAAUUGUGACAUCAAGAAAGGUUAUUUUGAUACUUUGUUGCGACACCGUCUUACGAUGAAGGAGGACCAUGAUUGUGGUCCUUCAUGUCUUUAUUCCUCAAUUUCUAUCGGCAUUUUCUCUAUUGAUUAUUUUUUCGCCCAUUAUUUUCACCUUUUUUUUUAUUUAGCAUCGCAAUAAUCUCUAUUAUUUUCUUUUAAAUGUUUAUCUUCCUCUUUUCUGUAAACUCAACCCAGACCCUCGUGAAGGUGCAAAAAUAAAUUGUAUACCAAUGUCUACAAAACAGCGAACUAGUCGGAAAGUUUAUAUGAUAGAGAUACUUAAAUAUAAAGAUUGAAUACACCUGUCUACUUUCUUCAAUUUCAGGUAAAGAUAACUAUAAUUUUUUAUUUAGAUAAUACCCGUUUUAUUAUUUUAUAACUGUUUAACUCAUAAAAAGGAGUAUAAAACAGUAAACACUGUAUAGUUUCAAUAAAAUAGACAGAUAUAACAUCUGACUUUGAUAAAAAGAGAAAUUUAGAAGUAUAUUUGAUUUUAUAAUAAGGCCAACUUGUUCCAAAAACGCACUGUAUCCUUUGAUGUUCCGUCACUUAGUACAUUGCAGGUAAUUGCUGUGGAUGCCAUAAAAAAGAGCCAAUUGCAUUUUAUGCCGCAUUGACAAAACACACUACAAUAACAGGAUCUCAGACGAUUGUAUACGACAAAAUUUACACAAACCUUGGUCAGGCCUAUGACUCCAGUAAUGGGAAAUUCCGUGCACCAGUCAACGGUCUUUACUACUUUGCAUGUACUCAGAUAUCUGCUUCUGGCAAGUUCCAUGUCAUACUAAUGAAAAACAACAGCAAACUAGGCAAAGGAUAUAGUGUUGAAGGUGGCGAAACAGGGUCAGUUAUUGGUACGGUACUACUAGAAGAAGGUGAUGUUGUAACCGUACGUCAACAUAAUCCCUAUACUGGAUCACAAUAGUUGCAUGGUUCUGAGUAUAGCACAUUUACAGGUUAUCUAAUUACACAACUUUGACUAGAUAACAAUAAAUAAAUAAAUCUUUUACCGCAAA
rnacentral:lncRNA from 1 species